rnacentral:rRNA from 1 species
UACAGAGAGUGCAAACGUUGCUCGGAAUCAUUGGGCGUAAAGCGCACGUAGGCGGCCCAGCAAGCGGGGAGUGAAAGCCCUCGGCUUAACCGAGGAAGUGCUUUCCGAACUACUGGGCUUGAAUACUGGAGAGGGUCGCGGAAUUCCCGGUGUAGAGGUGAAAUUCGUAGAUAUCGGGAGGAACACCAGUGGCGAAGGCGGCGACCUGGACAGAUAUUGACGCUGAGGUGCGAAAGCGUGGGGAGCAAACAGG